rnacentral:rRNA from 1 species
CCUACGGGAGGCUGCAGUGGGGAAUAUUGCACAACGGGGGAAACCCUGAUGCAGCGACGCCGCGUGAGUGAAGAAGUAAUUCGUUAUGUAAAGCUCUAUCAGCAGGGAAGAAAAUGACGGUACCUGAGUAAGAAGCCACGGCUAACUACGUGCCAGCAGCCGCGGUAAUAGGUAGGGGGCGAGCGUUAUCCGGAUUUACUGGGUGUAAAGGGAGCGUAGACGGCAGUGCAAGUCUGGAGUGAAAGGCGCGGGCUCAACCCCCGGACUGCUCUGGAAACUGUACGGCUGGAGUGCAGGAGAGGUAAGUGGAAUUCCUAGUGUAGCGGUGAAAUGCGUAGAUAUUAGGAGGAACACCAGUGGCGAAGGCGGCUUACUGGACUGUAACUGACGUUGAGGCUCGAAAGCGUGGGGAGCAAACAGGAUUAGAUACCCUUGUAGUC